UAUUUUGUUUUUCCUUACUCCCACCCUUCCUGGAAAUCUUUCGGCGUGUCACACCGCCAAAGGGCUGGCUGUCCUUUCCGUCAGUCAAAAACAUACACUGCUCUUCUGGAGCUGUUUGUUUCAAGGUUAUUCAGAUUUUUGAGUCUGGUCAAUACAUUAAAAAAAGAAGGACUGAACUAUAUUUCUUCAAAAAAUGAAGUAGCUUCAAGUUUGAGCGUAAGGUGGUUUUGAUGUCGCCUCUCUGCUAACCCGAGCCUUCCACUCCGUGUGUGCACAGGGUUUAGCUCCGGGCAGUGUUGCCACCUACCCGUGAAUUGUGUAAGUUACUCCCAGCACUGGAAGGUGAAGAUGCAGCGCCUUACUCGAGCACUCGGCUUGUUGAAAAGGCCAUGUGGUCCUUCUCAGCAGUGUCCAGCUGGAGGAUAUCAUGUCCCAACAAUUUGGAAUUAGGAACCAUCUCUGCUUUCCAGGCUUGAUUUUCUUCAAAUUCGUGCAUCACAACAAGCUUUUACGGUGAGGACUUGACUUUCUGCUCAGCAGCUGCGAGGAAGAAAUAAGCACGGAAAGAGACUUCACUGAAGAGCAUGGGCUGAAAACAUGAUUUCCCAUAUUUCUUUUUCAUGUAAAGACAUUUGAAGACUUGAGAAUUAAAAUUACGUGUUUUGAAUUAA